ACAGCAGUCGCCGCGGUAAUGCGAAGGGUGCAAGCGUUAAUCGGAAUUACUGGGCGUAAAGCGUGCGUAGGCGGUGAGUUAAGUCUGCUGUGAAAUCCCCGGGCUCAACCUGGGAAUGGCAGUGGAUACUGGCUCGCUAGAGUGUGUCAGAGGAUGGUGGAAUUCCCGGUGUAGCGGUGAAAUGCGUAGAGAUCGGGAGGAACAUCAGUGGCGAAGGCGGCCAUCUGGGACAACACUGACGCUGAGGCACGAAAGCGUGGGGAGCAAACAGGAUUAGAUACCCCGGUAGUCCCUGUCUCUUAUAC
rnacentral:rRNA from 1 species